GGGCGACGCGCAGGUGCGCAGCGCUGUCUUGCACACAGCGCCUGCUCGGUUCGAUACCGAGGUCGUCCACCA
rnacentral:tRNA from 1 species